CGGACUGUGAAUUUCACCUCUAGUGCCAAGAUCUUGACACUCGGGACAACAGUGCUUGGGCUCAAUUUCAUCCCCGCCUGCAAAUGCGAAGCAAAUUACACUAAUUGUGUCACAUUUGCACGGGAGGAACAGGUCACGAUCGAAAUCGUAUGUGACAUUUGGUGGUUGGGAUCAAGAUCCAGCAAUCAAAUUAUGAACCUGGAUGAUGGUGCUGCCGAUCUCCAGCUCGUGCAUUCCAGGCUCCAUGAAUCCCAGCGACCGCAGCUUGGGCGCAUUGCGGAUCUUGACCAUGGAGGAGAGGCAGCUCCGGUGCUUGCUCGUCAUCCAGAGCAUGAGCCGCUCCAGGCGCGGCGCGUCCACCACGUCGACUUGACGACGGUCAGGCAGACCUGCAAGAUGCGGAGGCUGCGGCUGGUGAGGCGGACGCGGGCGCCGUCUUGGCACGUGAUGAUGGCGAGCUUCUCCAGGGCGGGGCUCCUGUCGAGCAGGAAGGCGAGGUCCCGGUCCUCCAUGACGACGCAGGAGAGCACCAUCUCACGGAGGUGGGGGAAGGCGGCGCCGCGCGGGACGGCGCGGGUGUCCGGGAGGCGCCAGACGCCGACGUGGAGGCGGGUGAGGGAGGAGCAGGCGAAGAGCGCGGCCGGGAGGCGGAGGUCGAGCGGCCACGGGCGGUUGACAAACACUAGGUCCUGGACGCCCUUGGCGGCGAGGGCCUCGAGCCAGCGCGCGACCUCGCCCCGGUGCGCCUCCAUGGAGGUGGUGGUGAGGUGCGCGCAGCGGAAGGGGCCCGGGUGCGCGGCGAGGACGCGGGACACGGCGGCAACGACGCCGCCGCCGCCGCGUCCCUGCGGUGCGAGGUGGGCGUCGACGAGCGCCAGGGGCACCGAGUGCCAGACGCCGCGCCAGCGCGUGGACAGCGCGGCGGUGCGCGCGCCGUCCCUGGCGGGGAGGCGGGACACGACGUCGCGGAGGAGCUCGUCGGGGAGGCGGCUGAUGCGGUCGACGCCGUCGGCGGGGGCGCGCGCGGCGGCGGCGGGGGCGAGGCGCGGGAGGGUGGAGACGGGCGGGUCCGGGAUGGAGUCCCCCACGAGGACCCGCAUCAGCUCCAUGCCGACCUCCAGCAUCUCCGGCGGCAGGCCGCCGCGCUGCAUGGAGGAUCGCAUGUGGUCCAUGCUGACGCCGACGAGGGCCUCCUUGCCGAGCUCCAUGGUGGCCGGCGGCGGCGGCGGCGCGCGGGAGGGAGGGAGGGAGGAGGACGCGAGGGUUUGGGGAGUGGAGUGGAGUCGUGUGGCGUGGGAGUCCGGAGUGGAGUGGGAGGUGGAGUACUAG
rnacentral:lncRNA from 1 species